GAGUCCAAAUAGAGAAUACAUCGCUUGAAGAGAGGUCAGGCAAACACCCAAUAAACACCUUCAAUCAUGUACUAAGGAGUUUUGUAUCAUUAGUACCACAAGUGAUUUAUUUUCUUCUACCCCUGAUUUUUCUCUGUUGUCACUACAUCAAGAUCCAGGUUGCGAUUAGGUUGAGCAAAAUGUUCAUGUAAGCAGCUCUGUGACAGGGGUCAUAUUACAGGAAAUAUGUUGGCAUUCUCAUGCUCAUGCCUCUUGAGUUUUUUUU
rnacentral:lncRNA from 1 species